CGAUUUUCUUCGGAGCUUGACGCGCAUCGGACACCUUCUGUGUCUCGCUGGCUUUCGGACAUUAAGUCGAAUUAAACCAACUGGGAUCCCUGUGGAGCUGCCUCGAAGAAGGAUCCUAAUAUCACAUAUCAGUUAGAUGACCAAGUUAGGGCCUACAUGACCGCUGCAGCUCAGUGCCGGAGCUCAGAUCAAUGGAAUACUGUUGGGGAUAUAACGGACCACACCCACAUACUGAUUAGACCCUCUGAUUGGAUAUCACGUGGAUGACUUGACCACUACCAUGGCUCUCAUGCAAAUUGAUCAAGCUACAUGAUGUGACAUGUGUUGGGCCUGUGCUCCAAAGCCCAGGUGUCAUGGUAGCUACAUGAUGGCUUUUUCCUGCUACAAAACUCGUUCAUCAUCCAAGGGGCCUGUUGGGUUUUUAUCUCUGCC
ensembl:lncRNA